UUCUCAUGUUCCUUCUCCUACAGAAAACCAAAUUCCAAUGCAAGGGAGAUCUUGUCCUCCUAGAGAAACCUGUCCUUGUCAAACUGACCCACAGGUGCAAAAUUCAACUAGAGGCCUGUUUCCUCUAAGAGAAGUACCUGAAAUAGGACGAAAUGGGGAUGUGGUGACUUUAAGACAUAGGAUACCGUUUACUCCCCAAGAAAUAAAUGAAUUUACACGAAAUAUCCCCACAUAUGAACAAGAUCCUUUUCUAGUAACAAAAAAGAUGGGAGACAUAUUUUUUCAAUAUAAUCCGUCUUACAAGGACGUUGAGAGCUUACUACAGGCUUUUUUAAGUGAACGUGAAAAAAAUAAAAUAAUUGCUCAUGUCAACAAAACCCGGGGGCGUAAUGCAGCACAUUGGCCAUCUCAGGAUCCCGAAUGGGACUAUAAUAAUCCUGAGGACUAUCUACAACUAUACCGUUGUAGAGAGGCCAUCCUCACGGCCAUGAAGGAAUGUGCGGACAGUACAGAUAAGUGGAUGGAACUGGAAAAAAUUAAGCAAAAGGAAAACGAAACACCCUCCAGAUUUAUGGACAGAAUUAUCGAGUUUGGGGACAGAUACUUAGAUUGGGACUUAAAUAAAGAGAAUAGUUUUAGACAAGUUAGAAGAAUCUUUGUAAAUAAUUCAUGCAAAGUAAUUAAAAAUUAUUUUAAAACACAAUGCCCAAGAUGGUCAGAUAUGGACCUUGAAGAAUUGCGAAAAACAGCUAUAUAUGUUUUUAAGGGAAACAAAGAAAAGGAGAAAGAGAAUAAUGAUGACAUGGAGGAAAUGAAGAAAAAAAUGAGAUGUGUAAUAGAUAGGAUAACUAAAUUAGAAAGUGGGCAUGAUAAUGAACCAACGACAAUUGCCCCUCUCCAGAAAUCCAAUUAUCAAUCCAUUACUUGCCACUUCUGUGAGAAGAAGGGCCACAAAAUGAUGGAAUGUAGAACCUUUCUUAAGAUGUUUGGAAGGAAUACACAGUUUAAUAAUAGUUUUAGAAAUAAUAACUAUAGAAAUUAUGAUAAUGGUUAUAGAAACCAAAAUUCUAGAAAUUAUAAUAAUGACUAUGGAAAUAACUAUAAUGAAUAUAGAAAUAAGAGCUUUAAAAACCAGAAUUAUAGAAAUAGGAAUUGGGAAUUUAAUGACAAUGCUCAAAUUGAAGAAAAUUUUAAUGAUUAUACUCAACAAUAUAUGAGAAAUGGCGCUCGUCCAAAAAUUACUCGAGGUACUAAUGACCCUCAGAGAGGUGCCCUUCAGGGGGGUGCCCAAGGAAUAUCCCAAACACAAUGAUGGUGCCCGGCGGGGGCUGGGGCACAGGAAUCAGAGGAUACAACCUUUGAUUUCCCAGACCCUGAUGUCCUACUACCCGUUGUCCCUAUCCACUGCCCCUCCCAUACAUAUGAA
rnacentral:lncRNA from 1 species